AAAAAAAAAAAAAAAGUCAUCAAACCAGAUGACACAAAUCAAAUGACAUUUCACUUUGUUUUGGUCCAUUUUGUUUGUUAGAGACAAGAGUGCAGCGGGGCCAUCUCGGGUCACUGCAACGUCCAGCUCCUGGGCCCAAGCGAUCCUCCCACCUCAGCCUCUCCAGUAACUGGGAUAACAGAGUCUCGCUCUGUCGCACAGUCUGGAGUGCAAUGGCGUGAUCUCGGCCCACUAAAACCUCCACCUCCUGAAUCUCAGCAAUUCUCCUGUCUCAGCCUCCUGAGUAGCUGGGACUACAGGCUCACACCACCAUGCCCGGCUAAUUUUUGUAUUUUUAGUAGGGACGAGGUUUUGCCAUAUUGGUCAGGCUGGUCUCGAAGUCCUGGCCUCUGGUGAUCCACCAGCCUCAGCCUCCCAAAAUGCUGGGAUUACAGGCAUGAGUCACCACCCCCAGCCUAAACUUGGCAAGAUAAUAAAUAACCUUUUUAAGUGUC